rnacentral:rRNA from 1 species
AUUGAACGCUGGCGGCAGGCUUAACACAUGCAAGUCGAGCGGAGAUGAGGUGCUUGCACCUUAUCUUAGCGGCGGACGGGUGAGUAAUGCUUAGGAAUCUGCCUAUUAGUGGGGGACAACAUUCCGAAAGGAAUGCUAAUACCGCAUACGCCCUACGGGGGAAAGCAGGGGAUCUUCGGACCUUGCGCUAAUAGAUGAGCUUAAGUCGGAUUAGCUAGUUGGUGGGGUAAAGGCCUACCAAGGCGACGAUCUGCAGCGGGUCUGAGAGGAGGAUCCGCCACACUGGGACUGAGACACGGCCGCGACUCCUACGGGAGGCAGCAGUGGGGAAUAUUGGACAAUGGGCGGAAGCCUGAUCUAGCCAUGCCGAGUGUGUGAAGAAGGCCUUUUGGUUGUAAAGCACUUUAAGCGAGGAGGAGGCUACCUGGAUUAAUACUCUAGGAUAGUGGACGUUACUCGCAGAAUAAGCACCGGCUAACUCUGUGCCAGCCGCCGCCGUAACAC